rnacentral:misc_RNA from 1 species
AAGUCGUAACAAGGUUUCCGUAGGUGAACCUGCGGAAGGAUCAUUAAUAGUGUUCGUGGCUUUUUUUUUAACAAGCCAUGAAUCCAAACCUAUUUUAUUUCGCUCCUGACUAUUAGACUGAAUAAAAUUAUUUUGAACCAAAUACAACUUUCAACAACGGAUCUCUUGGCUCUC